rnacentral:rRNA from 1 species
UGGGGAAUAUUGGACAAUGGGCGCAAGCCUGAUCCAGCCAUGCCGCGUGAGUGAUGAAGGCCCUAGGGUUGUAAAGCUCUUUCACCGGUGAAGAUAAUGACGGUAACCGGAGAAGAAGCCCCGGCUAACUUCGUGCCAGCAGCCGCGGUAAUACGAAGGGGGCUAGCGUUGUUCGGAUUUACUGGGCGUAAAGCGCACGUAGGCGGACUUUUAAGUCAGGGGUGAAAUCCCGGGGCUCAACCCCGGAACUGCCUUUGAUACUGGAAGUCUUGAGUAUGGUAGAGGUGAGUGGAAUUCCGAGUGUAGAGGUGAAAUUCGUAGAUAUUCGGAGGAACACCAGUGGCGAAGGCGGCGCACUGGACCAUUACUGACGCUGAGGUGCGAAAGCGUGGGGGGCAAACAGG